rnacentral:lncRNA from 1 species
CUCUAAGAUAUAAAAAAUUUUAUAAGUCUGCAACUCUGAGGUGGCUGCUUGAAGACAUUUUUCUGUUGUCUGUUAGAAGGGAUUUUGUGCCAUGUAAAAAAUUGACUUUUAUUAAAAAUGCGCAUUUUUCUGCACAACCCGAAUUCAUUCCAUUGAAAUGCUCCUUGGACAGUAGCUCCCCACUGCUCCUCAUCUGCAAAAUCUCGGUUAUUCUACAGAAAAAUCAAAUUGUUUUUUCACUGUUUUCGUUUUUUUUUUUGAAAGUGCUGCUAACAAGACCACGACGCCCACUGAUACUUUUGGGAUUUAAGGGUUUGCUUUGUAGCCGGACCCCGAUCCUGCCAUGGCUAAGCUUUGUCAGCUUCCCCAACUGAGCUGCAUCAAAACGUGCUGCGGAAUAUUUCCGGAUGGAAUCAGCUCGGUGUCCCUUCCCCAGGGCAGUGACAACGCUGGCUUCGCAGCAAAACGCAGACCUUUCGGGUCGCUGAACGCCAAGAAAAGCAGCUUCUGCAGAAUGCGAACAGCAGCGAGCAAAUCACGGACCAUCGCUGUCCUCGAGUCACCUCCGCAUUCCCACCGGGCUUGGAUCCAGCGCAGGGCAUCCUUGCAGGUGCAGCUCGGGCUGCAGGGGCCGGAGGGUCCUGAGGGAGCCAAAGGGCUCCUUCCCAGUCUUGCAUUUGGGAGGAAAAGCAGUUUGGGCUGAGGUCUGGGGGCCCUGGUGGAUGAUGUUUGCCUAAAGCAUCCUCCGCUCUCUUCCCCGGGCGCUGGAGGUGCUGGGGACGCUCUGCGGCUGUGGCACAGCCUGGUCCUGGUGCAGAGCUGCUCCCUCGGCCUGGCAGGGCAGCAGAGGGGUGCCAGGGGCUGAGGAGGAGCUGCCCAGGGCCGGGCCGGCUCCCCCCUCACCGGCGGUGCCCCCAGUCCGGCUGGAAGCUCCGCCGGCAGCCCCGGGCUGGGCUCAGCAGCCGCCGGAGGGAGAGGCUGGGAGCGCCCAUCUCACCCCAGCGCCCGCUCCAGCGAAAGCGGCUCCCUGCUCCUCUCAGUCUUUCACUCAAGGACUGCUCUGACAGCGUGGAGAGAAAAAAGUCCUUUCCCAGAGUCAAUUCCAGCUCUUCCCCCUCCAACAGUUUCCCUCCAUCCCCUCCCUGGCUCUGCGAGUGCUGCAGGUUGUCCUCGCUUGGGGACACGGGCACAGACCCCACAGGUGUGAGGGAGCAGCAGCAUUUCCCGGCCACCACAGGUUCUGUGUCUCCGUCAGAGAGGCAAAUCAACUCUUGUCUCCUCUUCUAUGUAUUUAUGAUUUUUUUUUUAGGCAAACAGGAGAAACAUGGGAUCAUCCAGUGCUGGAUUUGAGCGAGUCAGACACUCCUUUAGCUGUGUAUUCUCCUG